CUUCGCACAUUAAGGUGCAUUAGCCCAAGCCCCCUAUGAGAUUUCAAGUCGGAGGGGGGGAUUCAGCUCACUCCUAUAAAAGCUAACAGGCAUAAGGUCAUCUGCAGCUAUUUGUUGAGUGAGCUGAGACUUUCCAAAGAUCCCUGGCCAACCACGUGAGAGCAUUUGGCAGACCUCCCUCAAGUUGCUGGAUGCAGGGGCUCGGGCGUGAACUGGAAGAGCAGUGUUGGCAGAGCUCAAUCCACCCGGACGAAGCUACCGCCAAAGGAGUGGAGCUGCUGCAGGGGACUAUAGUGGCUGCCAAUGCUCCAUUCUGGGUGUGGCUCCUGUUGCAAGGUUGGGGCUGCCAUGAGGGGUAGGAGUAGGGAGGUUAACCAAAACUAGCCUGGGAGGGAGGUUGUGGGGGAAAUUGAGGAAGCUGGCAAAGCUCCAGACUCUCAGCAUAUGAGGGCUGAUGAUGUGAAUGAUACAUGGUGUGGACUGCAUCCUGUGGUGCAAUACCCUGAAGAGGGUUUUGGCCUAGGGAAGUGGUCGGUGCUGUGUAGAGCUGGGCUGAUUUGAUGUGGGCCUGGUCUGGUACAGCUGUGUUGGGCCCGUCUGGUAGAUCUAUGCUGUGAUGGGCCGGAUCUGGUAGAGCUGUGCU
ensembl:lncRNA